GCAGCCGCAGCCGCAGCCGCAACCGAAACCCUCUUAUCUCUUUAUUCCUCCAUUUGCAGUUUCUCAAUCUCUGCUCUUCUGUUUCAUCUCAACUCUCAAUCUAUAUAUCUCGAUUUCUUCUUUUAUUUCUCAUUUAGAUUUAGAUUUUGCUUCUGAUUCAGGUUAUUUAUUGGAAGCGAUGAAGAACACCUAAAACCCAGAACACAGACUCUUCUCCAAUCAUCAUCAUUAGUUGAAGAUGAUCAAGAUCUGGGUGAUAUGAGAAAAUUCUGGGUGUUGAUCUUUAAUCCAGGAAUUUCUGAUCUGGCCUUUGUACACGCGUCUUUGGAGUUACAAAACAAAUCGAAAAUUAUCAGUUAACGAUUGAAUUUUCGGUUCCUUCAAAUAUGGAAACGAUUGAAUUUUCAGUUCCUUAAGAUAUGGAAACCAACUUCAGUGUUCAGUUUGAUUUCUCAAUUCUAAACACUUUAUUUAAUCUCCAUCCGCUUUUUUUUUUCAUUCAGUAAGUUUUUUUUUUAAUCUUUUUUUGUAGAUUUGUUUAGCAUUUUCUAAUCAGAGUUGCGAUUUGUUUCCGUGAAUCAGAAAUAUAUGCAAGCGGACUUGAAUAAGAAUUAGAAAAGAUGAUCAAAUAACGAUGGUGGUAUUGUAAUCUCAUCUUCCAAGGGUCAAGCAUAUUUACACUUUGUGGUGUUUAUGUAGAAUUCAAUUUUCUAUUCCGGUGUUGACUCAAUCAUCUUUCUUUUUGUUAGAUCAAUUCCUUAUCAAAUUUCUACUUAUCUAUUUUCUUGCUAGUUAUUGUAAUUGAUGUAAUUGUAAUUUCUUGCUUAAUUGUAUUAUUGCGUCCGCUCGAUUGUUCGCUUAUACCGUGUCUUCCUUUGAUUGUUUGUUUGAUUAGAACCAUAUGGACAAAAAUAGAGCACCAUACUUUGUAUAAACCAAUAAUGAAGUUCUUUUUCCUUUUAGUGUGAGUAAGACAUUUUAAAUGAUGUUUGAAAUGCUUGGAUGGUGUCAUCUACGUUAGCCCCCUUAAUCUAACAUGGAGGGAUGUGAGUUUGACACGAAUCCACAGCAUCUCAAACCAAGAGGGAGAAUUUAGUGUGGAACCAAUACAACAGCCUGCCUAUGUUCAAAGUCCAUCAGCAUUGGAGAUUCAGUAUGUCCAAUAUAAUGACAGGUUUGCCUAUGAAUCUCUUUAGUUAGAAAUGGCUGUAUCAUGGUUUGGUUUUUGUCAUGUUGACUUCCCUGUUUUUUAUUUAUUUUUGACACUUUUAAUAAUUGGUCUAGAGACACCACUGUAUGGUACAUGUAGGACAUAUGCUGCAAAGAUUUCUUAUUUAUUUACCUUGACACUUCCGUUAUUCUAAGAUUCAGUUAGCACUUACGAAAGAAGCACUUAGGUUUAUUGAAGUAAUGAGAGAAGCUGGUCCUGUUAAAGGUGGAAGUAAUGUAAUUGCAUUUAUUGAAGAUCCAGAUGGUUACAAGUUUGAGCUAUGUGCCAAGUAGUGCUUCGUUUAGGUGAUCUUAACUGCGCCCUAAAUUACUAUGAGAAGGGGUGCGUAUUUCCCCCCUUGAUUUCGGUGAAUGGGUGAGGCUUUGGAAUGUUCCAGACUCAAGUGUUAUGAAAACAGAUGAAUCAUCUGAGCUGUUGGCCGUUUAUGUAUAGAAGAAUGCUUGGGAUAUUGAUCACCAGUGGGAUGAUGAUUAAUUUGAAACAUCUGGUGCUCAAGUUGAUAUAUAGGAUGACAAUAGGUUUUGCACACUUUUUGAUACAAGUAAUUUGCAUAUGCCAACCCGCGUUAUAUGACAUAGUACAUCUUGUGAAAUAGGUCAGAGCCAAUAAUGAGUUUUGAGUGGGGGAAGGCUACUUUUAUAUCUCUUCGAUUUAGUCCUGGUGAACCAAAUAUUUUAGCCACAUCUAGCAGGGGUUUUCAGUAAUCGCAGCACUACCUUAUAUGAGUUGCAGUUGUUAACUCCAGUGAGGAAGCUGAUCAUACAGAGACUAAUGCUUUCUGCUGGAACCCAAUGGAGCCGAUGAACUUCACAGCUGUCAAGAAACAUACUGCAAGUGCAAUCCUUUGAGGAUUUUUACUGGUGAACCUGAGUAAUCCCAGUUCAUCUUGAACCAGUUUUAGACCAGUCAGGACUAUCGGCCAUGUGAUCAGUAUUUAUUGUUUUGUUUGGUUGCCUCGGAUGGUCAGCAAUUUCAACUUUUUGGCAUGUGUUUCAGUAAAACACUUUGGUGGAAGGAUGGUCAACAAUUUGAAUUAUGGGAGGCUCAAAAGUCUGCAGUACAAACAGCUAUCAAGCUACCAACAUGCAAAAUUAUUAAUGGUGUAUCAUUGCUUCGACGAAAAGCUUGAUAUUGCGACUGCAAAGACAUGGACUAUUAAUGGGUGUCAUAAAUUCAAAGAUGCUUGCUAAGGUGAUAAUAUUAUAACCUGUCAUAAUUAUGGAAAAUGUCCCCCUUUUCAAUUCUUAUUAUAAUGUGCUAUUAUGUUUUGUUAUAUACUCGAUUAGAUGAGAUUCAUGGAUUUCCCUUGAUACUUAUUCUUAUCAGAAAUCUAACUCUUUACCUUUAGCCAAAUGACUGAAGCUUUCACCUGCGUAAAAAAAGCACAGGUCAUACGUCUUUCUUCCUUCCAUUCCAUGAGCACGAGGUGCAAUUGUUGAAACUCUAAUGUCAAUAAAUUCGCUCAACCUCAGUUGUAUUAGACCUUAAAUCUUAAAUAAUUUGAGAUUAUUUCCAAAUACAUCAUUCAUUUCAUGACUCAAAUUCACGGACUCAGCCUUAUCCUCAAACUUCACCCUUGCAGUACUAAGGGUCCCUGGGAUGCAAGAAGUUAAUUGGAGCAGAGGUAUUCAUACUUGCCCUCUUCUGUGCAAUGAAAGAGUUUAUGUAUUUCAGCUUAAGUAGGUAGUAUGGGCAGGUACUUCAUGUAUUUGUAUUUCAGUUAUUUUAUUUUUCUGCCUUAGAGACAUCCAACAAUGACGAGUUCAUUUUCCCUUUAAAACAUUUUGUAA